rnacentral:lncRNA from 1 species
GUUGCUCCUAUUGUCAUUGGACAAAGUAAUUAGAAGCAUAAUCAUGGCAAUUAUAAACUCAGUGGAUGGAAUAAGUGGCAGAAUAUACUAUGCUAAAGGGAGAAUUGAUGAAUUGGAGGGUAGAGUUACAUCAUUACUAGAAUGCGGCAAAUAAUAACAAUAAAAAGAAGAUAUCAAAUAAAUAUUAAAAGGAUGAAGAUAAAAUUGAAGAUCGUACAUUUAUUUAGUCAGAGUUCCAAAAAUAAAAAGAAAAAAUUCAAAAGGCAAGGUUGAGAAGUAUACAGAACUGAUAAAAGAAAAUAAUUCUUGGUUUCUGGAAGCUACACAAAUCCCAAGAUAUUUUUUAAAGGAUAUUUACGUCUUGGAAUUGAAAUUGUAGAUAAGCAAAGAUAAAGAAAAAUAUUAAAAGCAACUAGAGAUAAAUUAUGUAAUCCAUGUAAGAGUAUGAUAAUUAGACUUGUUGGCCAAAAAUAAAUUCUAAGCCUCCCAACUCACUAAUAGACCCUCCUCUUGGCCAAGGAGACCCAAAUAAACCGCAAAAACUAGUUCAGACCAUGAGGGAAAGGAGAGGUGAACAUAACUCAUUAUACUCUCCUCUCUUUGGAUUUUAGGCACACAACUGACCAGCAUUAGCAUUAAAAUAGAGAUCCUAAAACUGACAACAGAUUCUGUGUAGCAAUAAGACACCAAACUCUAACCUGGCUCUCAAUAUAGCAUCACAUGACAGACAGCAGUGCCCUGAAAGAAACAACAGUAUUUUAUUCCAAAAUACAUUUCUUUGACAUAUUUUGAAAUGGCCCUGCAAAACUGCACCUUGCGGGAGAAAUUUACAUUCCAUAGAGAAUCCCCUUCCCUUUCUAGGUCUUUUUCUGAUCCUGACAAGAUUAGCUGAAAGUCUGGUAACUUUUAAGGGCCUGAAAAGAAAAUAUUUGCCACCUAUUGGCUCUCGAGGCAGCUACCUAUGAGACUUCAUCUACAUUAUAAGAACUUGGGUUUACACAAGCACUUAUCUUAACCCAGACACUUCUUUCAAUUGAUUCUAGGCCUUCAGAUAAUAACUCUCUACUAUUACCCCCCUGUCCCUUCCCUGCCCCCACUUCAAGUUGUCCUGCCAUUCUGGACUGAUCCAAUGUAUGUCUCACAAGUAUUGAUUGAUGUCUUAUGUCUCCCUAAAACAUAUAAAACCACGCUGUAACCCAACCACCUUGGGCACAUGUUCUCGGGACUGCCCAAAGCUGUGUCACAGGUUGUGUUCCAUAAUCUUGGCAAAAUAAAUUUCUAAAUUGAUUGAGAUCUGUCUCAGAUACUUUUUGGUUUAGAGAGUAAUGGGUGACUUU